ACUCCUACGGGAGGCAGCACGUGGGGAAUAUUGNACAAUGGGCAGCAAGCCUGAUCCAGCCAUGCCGCGUGUGUGAAGAAGGCUUUCGGGUUGUAAAGCACUUUCAUCAGUGAGGAAAGGUUAGUAGUUAAUACCUGCUAGUCUGUGACGUUANCUGAAGAAGAAGCACCGGCUAACACC
rnacentral:rRNA from 1 species